rnacentral:rRNA from 1 species
UACGGGGGGGGCAAGCGUUGUUCGGAAUUACUGGGCGUAAAGAGUUCGUAGGCGGUUCGGUAAGUGAGGUGUGAAAUCCCUUGGCUCAACCAAGGAAUUGCGCUUCAAACUGCCGGGCUCGAGGGAGAUAGAGGUGAGCGGAACUGAUGGUGGAGCGGUGAAAUGCGUUGAUAUCAUCAGGAACACCAGAGGCGAAGGCGGCUCACUGGGUCUCUUCUGACGCUGAGGAACGAAAGCUAGGGGAGCAAACGGG